GGGUCAGUAGGUUGGUCGUGCCACCGGUACGUACUGGUCUCACUGGUUCCUCCUUCCUGAAGAACCGUAAUGCCAUUAAUUUGGUGUUGCGGGGAAACAGGACUGUUACUUUGAAAAAAUUAGAGUGUUUAAAGCAAGCUAACGCUUGAAUACAUUAGCAUGGAAUAAUGAAAUAGGGCGAUCGAUCCUAUUUUGUUGGUUUCUAGGAUUGACGUA
rnacentral:rRNA from 1 species